GUAUUAAGUGAUUUAUAUUCAAAAUAAGUGACUGGCAAAUGACUGCUCUAUUCAGAGAACCCAUAUCUAAUCUUUGAGAUCACAGUGUUGUCCAGCAGAGGGGAUUGGAAUGAGUUUCUCUAACUCCACUUGCUAAAGGUCAGCUUGGUGUGGACUUGUUCUGUUAGUUUGACAUUGAAAUGCAGUCAUUUUGGAGUCUUUGGUCUCCGAAGGUGGGAUGUAGCGUGCUUUAGCUAGAAGGGAGCCUUCGCCCAGGCCUGCUAGCCUCCAGCCUGGAGUCCUUGGGCUGUUGGGAACUGAAGGACUCGUCACACUUUUCCCGGAGGCAUUCCGGAUGACAGGAGUGCUCAGGUUCCCCACCUGGAGCUUGCUAGUCCAGGCUUUGAUUAAGGGAGAUGUGAAAACAAAGUAAUGAAUUUAUGUACUGCUGAAUCAAUAUGGUGUGGAGGGACCCUACCUUACAGAAUGUAGGGUCCAAAGAGGUGACAAAAGAAUCUCAGAUCUAAUCCAGCCUCUGCUUUCCAGGUGAGGACAGUUAAUUUUCAAAAAUCUGCAAUGGACUGAGAGCAGGGAUCCCGUCACCACCUGCUCUGAGCUCCACUGUAGUCCCGGCCUAGCCUUCUAGCACCUUCCCAGGGGGGGCGCCAUCGGCAGUCUUGAGUAGAUCCCACUUCAGGGCUGGCUCACAGCUUUUCUUGAUUUCCAGACGUGAAGCAAAGCCAAAGGUGAGCCACUUUCUUGACACAUCCAAAAGAAAUUUUGAGGAAUGUCAAAAGGAGUGACUGGCGGUCCUUCCUGGGUGGUAAGAAGCUAUGUAUUUCUUUUUUU
rnacentral:lncRNA from 10 species